AGAUGUAAGGCUUAAAUUAUAUAAAAUCUAAAAGAUAAUAUAGUAGAAAUAGCACUUGUUUACGUUUGUGGUAUAUGUGAGGAGAUUUGCAACAAUUAUUUAGAUCAUUGUUGUUU